GGGCCCGCACAAGCGGUGGAGCAUGUGGUUUAAUUCGAUGAUACGCGAGGAACCUUACCAGGGCUUAAAUGUUAGGUGACAGAUCUAGAAAUAGAUUUUUCUUCGGACACUUAACAAGGUGCUGCAUGGUUGUCGUCAGCUCGUGCCGUGAGGUGUCAGGUUAAGUCCUAUAACGAGCGCAACCCCUGUUGUUAGUUGCCAGCGAGUAAUGUCGGGAACUCUAGCAAGACUGCCAGUGCAAACUGUGAGGAAGGUGGGGAUGACGUCAAAUCAUCACGGCCCUUACGUCCUGGGCUACACACGUGCUACAAUGGUAGGUACAGAGAGCAGCCAAUGCGCGAGUAGGAGCUAAUCCUCAAACCCAUCUCAGUUCGGAUCGGAGUCUGCAACUCGACUCCGUG
rnacentral:rRNA from 1 species